GUGACCUUCUGCAACGUUCCUGAAGAACUAUUACUUGCAAAGGACCAAGCCUGGACGAUUUCUCAGGACAGAGUGAUGUUUAAUUCAAGGAGCCCGCGAAGGAGCCAUGUUUCCUAAGAGCCGCGCUUUAUCGAUACAACAUGAAGUCAUCAAUGCCCCAAACACACAGCGUGCAACGUAUCAUUACGGCGCCUCGCUUCUGGCGGAACGUUUUACGUCGUUCUAGCCCAAGGAACGCGUAGAAAAUGUGGAAAAUUGUUAUCCUGAUAGUCCACGACGUAACGUGUCGUUUUAUACAUAACGUAAUUACGAGCUCCUGUGAACUUCCUGAAGUUUAUUAUAGAAGUGAAUCGCUUUCAUCUACGAUAAAAUUGUUUCAACAAUGUCAACUGAAUUAUGUACCUUCCUACGGCAAUGUACAGUUUGAGGAUGUGCGAGAGGAUUUGGUGUCCUCUUAAAUUGAAGUAUGAGGAAGUAGUAGAGAUAAAUUAUUAUAAUAGCAUCUGAUUAACACUAGGUUCACGGAACACGGUCACUUUGACUCAUUUCAAAUUUUGACAAGGUUUUAUAGAAACCGUUUAUAUUGUUUACCAAGUAUUCAUGCUGAAUGUUACCAGCAUUUUAAUUUUAGUAAAUGAAGUUUAUUUAUU